AUAUAGAGGCCCAAAGUCCAACCUUGCGGGGUCCAGAGAAACUGCGUUAACUUUAGAAAAUGAGUUACUAAAAGCAGAAGGCUUCCUACGACUGGAGUAUUAUUUGAAUGUUGGCCGAAUCCCAACGUUUCAGUUGAACGGAAGUGAAGGCGGAGCCUGGCUCUUUUCUCUUGUGACUUUACGCUCCGUGCAGAGUAGAACGCCAGACAACAUGAUUGAACAAAGGAGGAAUGUUAAAAUGAUAUCGGACGGUAUUUUGUAAAAGAGCUAAACAGAAGCCUACUGCUGUAUUAUUAUUUGUUUGUUGGCGGAAGUCCCAUUUUUCAGUCGAAAGGAAGUGAAGUUGGAGUCACAUGUUCUCUAUUCUCCAUUUUGUCUUUUGACUUUAGGCAGAGAGUCACAUGUUGGAAUAUAACGUCUCGGUCCUCUACCUCCCUGAUCUAAAAGGUCCGUAGACUACAGAUAAACAUUGUUAUCUGGUUAACUUCGCCUGAACUCUGCAAUCAACCAUAAACACACGUUUCUACAAUGAAUCAGGCAGAGAGUCGCAUGUUGAAAUAUAACGUCUCGGUCCUCUACAUCCCGGAUCUAAAAGGUCCGUAGACUAGAGAUAAACAUCUAGUUAACUUCGCCUGAACUCUGCAAUCGACCAUAAACACACGUUUCUACAAUGAAUCAGGAAACACCUAUCCCACCCCCCUCCUCCCUCUCCCUCCAACC